AUGUCAUUCAUCUUUAAGUGGAUCUACAAUGGCUUCACCAGUGUGCUUUAACUCCUAGGACUCUAUAAGAAAUCUGGAAAGCUUGUAUUCUUGCGUUUGGACAAUGCAGGCAAAACCACUCUUCUUCACAUGCUCAAAGAUGACAGAUUGGGCCAACAUGUCCCAACACUACAUCCCACCUCAGAAGACCUGACAAUUGCUGGAAUGACUUUUACCACUUUUGACCUUGGUGGACAUGAGCAAGCACGUCAGGUUUGGAAAAAUUAUCUCCCAGUGAUUAACGGGAUUGUCUUUCUGGUGGACUGUGCACAUCACUCUCGCCUCAUGGAAUCCAAAGUUGAGCUUAAUGCUUUAAUGACUGAUGAAACAAUAUCCAAUGUGCUAAUCCUUAUCUUGGGAAACAAACAUAGUGAAGAAAACCUCCGUGAGAUAUUUGGGCUUUAUGGACAGACCACAGGCAAGGGGAAUGUGACUCUGAAGGAAGUGAACGCCUGCCUCAUGGAAGUAUUCAUGUGCAGUGUACUCAAGAGGCAAGGCUAGGGCAAGGGUUUUCGCUGGCUCUCCCAGUAUAUUGACUGAUGUUUGGACAGUGAAAAUAAAAGAGUUUUACUUCUCUGGACUGUUCCUAUUCACAGCUUCCUCAUGAACUUUUCUGAUAGAACAAGGAAAGCUCUCCAACCAUGUCUGGCAUUGAG